rnacentral:rRNA from 1 species
CGAACGCUGGCGGCGUGCUUAACACAUGCAAGUCGAACGGAAAGGCCCUGCUUUUGUGGGGUGCUCGAGUGGCGAACGGGUGAGUAACACGUGAGUAACCUGCCCUUAACUUUGGGAUAACUUCAGGAAACUGGGGCUAAUACCGGAUAGGAGCUCCUGCUGCAUGGUGGGGGUUGGAAAGUUUCGGCGGUUGGGGAUGGACUCGCGGCUUAUCAGCUUGUUGGUGGGGUAGUGGCUUACCAAGGCUUUGACGGGUAGCCGGCCUGAGAGGGUGACCGGCCACAUUGGGACUGAGAUACGGCCCAGACUCCUACGGGAGGCAGCAGUGGGGAAUAUUGCACAAUGGGCGGAAGCCUGAUGCAGCAACGCCGCGUGCGGGAUGACGGCCUUCGGGUUGUAAACCGCUUUCGCCUGUGACGAAGCGUGAGUGACGGUAAUGGGUAAAGAAGCACCGGCUAACUACGUG